rnacentral:tRNA from 2 species
CGGGCUGUGGUAUAAAGGCUAUUAUACACGCUUCGGGUGCGUGUGAUCCCGGUUCAAUUCCGGGCAGCCCGACCA